UCAGGAUGAACGCUGGCGGCGUGCCUAACACAUGCAAGUCGAGCGUGAUUCACUGAAAUGAUACUCGGUAGAAAUUCAGUGAUGAAAGCGGCGGACGGGUGAGUAACGCGUAGGCAACCUGCCCCUUGCAGGGGGAUAGCCAUUGGAAACGAUGAUUAAAACCCCAUAACGCAGAGCAGUCACAUGGCUGCACUGCCAAAGAUUUAUCGGCAAGGGAUGGGCCUGCGUCUGAUUAGCUGGUUGGUGAGGUAACGGCCCACCCAAGGCAACGAUCAGUAGCCGACCUGAGAGGGUGAUCGGCCACAUUGGAACUGAGACACGGUCCAAACUCCUACGGGAGGCAGCAGUGGGGAAUAUUGCACAAUGGGGGAAACCCUUGAUGCAGCAACGCCGCGUGAAGGAUGAAGGUCUUCGGAUCGUAAACUUCUGUCCUUGGGGAAGAACAAAUGACGGUACCCUUGGAGGAAGCCCCGGCUAACUACGUGCCAGCAGCCGC
rnacentral:rRNA from 1 species